CGGCGGACGGGUGAGUAAUGUCUGGGAAACUGCCUGAUGGAGGGGGAUAACUACUGGAAACGGUAGCUAAUACCGCAUAACGUCUUCGGACCAAAUGGGGGACCUUCGGGCCUCACGCCAUCGGAUGUGCCCAGAUGGGAUUAGCUAGUAGGUGGGGUAAUGGCUCACCUAGGCGACGAUCCCUAGCUGGUCUGAGAGGACGACCAGCCACACUGGGACUGAGACACGGCCCAG
rnacentral:rRNA from 1 species